UCCGAGUUGACCCCGGCAGUCUCCUAUGAGUCCCCGCCAUAACGCGCUGGCAACAUAGAACGAGGGUUGCGCUCGUUGCGGGACUUAACCCAACAUCUCACGACACGAGCUGACGACAACCAUGCACCACCUGUGUAGGGCCCCGAAGGACACCGUAUCUCUACGGCUUUUCCCUACAUGUCAAGCCCAGGUAAGGUUCUUCGCGUUGCAUCGAAUUAAUCCACAUGCUCCGCCGCUUGUGCGGGCCCCCGUCAAUUCCUUUGAGUUUCAACCUUGCGGCCGUACUCCCCAGGCGGGAUACUUACUCCGUUAGGUGCGGCACCGGCGGUAACCCGCCGACACUUAGUAUCCAUCGUUUAGGGCGUGGACUAC
rnacentral:misc_RNA from 1 species